GAAGCUGUCCCAUGGGAGAAACAAACUUCCAAUUCAGUAGUUGAUGAACAAUUGCAUCUAACUUUAAAUAUAACGCUGCUGCAAUUCUCAAAGUUUCCAACUUUUUUGAGGGAAAUCCUUCAAACCGUGCUAGUACCUGUGAUUCGUCAGUUAAAUUCUCGAGUACAGAUUCCACUUGCUUAUGGAAAAUGAGUAGGUCGUUCAUGUCCG
rnacentral:misc_RNA from 1 species